GCGGCCUAGGACCAAGGCUGAACGGGUUUUUACCAUAUUCCGACUUCCCAAUUCACACUCUUCAGCGUAUAAAGCGUGUUUCACCAGGAGCCCUCGUCUUGCUAGUAGCUGACUCUAAUUCAUGUCCUUCUAGCCUAUUUACUGCUUUCACCAAAGCUAUGAAGAAAAUAUACAGAAUCCAACUCUAUUUAAACAGAGAUUUUGUUAUCCAUAGAUUGAUAUAUCAGGAUGGUUUGAGGAUACAUGUGAAAGUUUGUUACACAAAUAAACGUGUCAUCGGAGGGGGGUUGUUGUACACAUGAUUACAUCAUCCAGGUAUUAAGCUCAGUACCCAAUAGUUAUCUUUUCUGCUCCUCUCGCUUCUCCCAGCCUCCUCCCUCAAGUAGACCACAGUGUCUAAUGUUUCCUUCUUUGUGUUCAUAAGUUCUUUUCAUUAGCUCCCACUUAAAGUGAGAACAUGCUGUAUUUGGUUUUCUGUUCCUGUGUUAGUUUGCUAAGGAUGAUAACCUCCAGCUCCAUCCAUGUUCCCACAAAAGAUAUGAUCUUGUUCUUUUUUAUGGCUGCAUAAUAUUCCAUGGUGUAUAUGUACCACAUUUUCUUUAUCCAUUCUGUCAUUGAUGAGCAUUUAGGUUGAUUCAACUUCUUUGUUAUUGUAAAUAGUGCUGCAAUAAACAUACAUGUGUUUAUGGUAGAAUGCAUUAUAUUCCUCUGUAUAUACCCAAUAAUGGGACUGCUGGGUCAAAUGGCAGUUCUGCUUUUAGCUCUUUGAGGAAUCAUCAUACUGCUUUUCGCAAUGGUUGACCUAAUUUACACUCCUACCAACAGCGCAUAAGGAUUAUCGUUUUUC
rnacentral:lncRNA from 10 species